AUCGCUUCUCGGCCUUUUGGCUAAGAUCAAGUGUAGUAUCUGUUCUUAUCAAAUGUACUUGGUGAAAAAAGGGGCGAGAAAGAGUGGAGGGAAAAAGGCCUUGUAAUGAUUGCCAGGCUGUAGGUUCAGGCGUACAAACUCCAAAAAGUACUUUGGUUUCUUUAUGAUUUCAUUCUAAUUUAUCACUUACUGAAUUUUU